UACGGAGGGGGGCGAGCGUUAUUCGGAAUUAUUGGGCGUAAAGGGCGCGUAGGCGGCUUGGCAAGUCAAAGGUGAAAUCCCUCGGCUCAACUGAGGAACUGCCUUUGAAACUGCCUGGCUUGAGGCCGGGAGGGGGUAGCGGAAUUCCCAGUGUAGCGGUGAAAUGCGUAGAUAUUGGGAGGAACACCAGUGGCGAAGGCGGCUACCUGGACCGGUUCUGACGCUGAUGCGCGAAAGCGUGGGUAGCAAACAGG
rnacentral:rRNA from 1 species